CAGCCGCCGCGGUAAUACGUAGGGAGCGAGCGUUGUCCGGAAUUACUGGGUGUAAAGGGAGUGUAGGCGGGAAAACAAGUCAGAUGUGAAAACUAUGGGCUCAACCUGUAGACUGCAUUUGAAACUAUUUUUCUUGAGUGAAGUAGAGGUAAGCGGAAUUCCUAGUGUAGCGGUGAAAUGCGUAGAUAUUAGGAGGAACAUCAGUGGCGAAGGCGGCUUACUGGGCUUUUACUGACGCUGAGGCUCUAAAGCGUGGGGAGCAAACAGGAUUAGAUACCCUGGUAGUCCACGCUGUAAACGAUGAUUACUAGGUGUGGGGGGACUGACCCCUUCCGUGCCGCAGUUAACACAAUAAGUAAUCCACCUGGGGAGUACGACCGCAAGGUUGAAACUCAAAGGAAUUGACGGGGGCCCGCACAAGCAGUGGAGUAUGUGGUUUAAUUCGAAGCAACGCGAAAAACCUUACCAGGUCUUGACAUCGAGUGAAGUAUUAAGAGAUUAAUACGUCUUUCGGGACACGAAGACAGGUGGUGCAUGGCC
rnacentral:rRNA from 1 species